GACGAACGCUGGCGGCGUGCCUAAUACAUGCAAGUUGAGCGCUGAAGGUUGGUACUUGUACCAACUGGAUGAGCAGCGAACGGGUGAGUAACGCGUGGGGAAUCUGCCUUUGAGCGGGGGACAACAUUUGGAAACGAAUGCUAAUACCGCAUAAAAACUUUAAACACAAGUUUUAAGUUUGAAAGAUGCAAUUGCAUCACUCAAAGAUGAUCCCGCGUUGUAUUAGCUAGUUGGUGAGGUAAAGGCUCACCAAGGCGAUGAUACAUAGCCGACCUGAGAGGGUGAUCGGCCAAAUUGGGACUGAGACACGGCCCAAAAUCCUACGGGAGGCAGCAGUAGGGAAUCUUCGGCAAUGGACGAAAGUCUGACCGAGCAACGCCGCGUGAGUGAAGAAGGUUUUCGGAUCGUAAAACUCUGUUGGUAGAGAAGAACGUUGGUGGGAGUGGAAAGCUCAUCAAGUGACGGUAACUACCCAGAAAGGGACGGCUAACUACGUG
rnacentral:rRNA from 1 species